AUAUCUUUAGUGGUUGACCUCGAAUCAGGUAGGAAUACCCGCUGAACUUAAGCAUAUCAAUAAGNCGGGAGG
rnacentral:rRNA from 1 species